rnacentral:misc_RNA from 1 species
UCUGAGUUGGAAAUCGCUGCUAAGGCUGCUGAAGAGCUUAGAAAGGGGGGUAAGGCUGUAAGAGUUGUCUCCUUUGUAUCAUGGGAACUUUUUGAUGAGCAAUCAGAUGCCUACAAGGAAAGUGUUCUGCCGGCAGCUGUAUCAGCUAGGGUUAGCAUUGAAGCUGGAUCAACAUUUGGAUGGGAGAAGAUUGUUGGACCCAAAGGCAAGGCUAUUGGAAUUGACCGAUUUGGGGCUAGCGC